GGGAGCAAGCCAGUAAGCAGCUCCCCUCCAUGGCCUCUCCCCUCCAUGGCUCCUGCCUCCAGGUUCCUGCUCUGCUUGAGUUCCUGACCUGACUUCCCUUUGGUGAUAGCAGCUAAGCUGAAGUCAGCUGCUGCUUAAAAAGAGUAACAUUUGGUGCCUAGGACGUGGAAAGGCUCUCCUUGUACUUUCACCGGCGCCCGCUGGGAAAGCGGGAACAUGGGAAAGCAAGGGAACCCUUACAGGCGGAUCGACAACCCACACUCCAUCUCACUGGUUUGCUGGGACUCUACAUCCAACACUGGACCCUAUUGGGUCUAAAAGGCACCAGGGAGCACCAUACAGCCCGGACUGCAAUGAAACAACCAUCUACCCCAGGACAUGGCAGCACCCCAACCUUCUCAGAUCCCCCCAAAGAUGGUCAAUGCCCCAGGUCAACAGGAAGCAGCCUUGAGAUUUCUUCCCCUACUUCCCUAACCUGCCACGCCCAAUUCCCCAACUUUUAUAAUAAAGAACAGCUGGGAUUGUAAGAACAAUACACCUGGAUGACCCUGCCCCCUAACGACAGGCGGGGCACGCACAGGAAAACUUGCUAAGUCAUUGCCACGUCACCUGCCAUGCAUUAUGGCCUGCGUGAGGACUCUGCGAAUGUACAAAACUCCACUGCGCAUGUGCAUGCGCAUGGGACCUUCCCUUUAAAAGGUCCAGCCUUCCAUCUUUCUCCCUCUUUUGGCUCUUCUUGGGUUGGCUGACAACUCAGCUCCA